UUGUUAUGAUUACGGGUUUUGCUUUUUAACACUAGUUGAAUGGUGGGCGCAGGCGCUAUUGACCAAAGUCAUGCUAGCCAUGUGCAUCUAAUCGAAAGCCAAAUUGACUCGUGCAUUAUAAUACAAACCGAAAACGAUGUCCACUUCCCUAUGAAAUGAAAUAUAUAGUAAUUAGUAAGUGAAUGCCCUACUUCGUAUAGAGUAUAGACGUUAUAUUUUAUAGUUAAAGUAUUUAUAGCUGUUAUAUUGGAUUAAUAGCGUGAAAGCCCAAUACUUUUUAGCCUAAAAAGGGCCAAAUCUAAAUCUGGUGUAAUCAGGCGCCAAAGAGAGGAGCGAGGAGCUACUAGCCAAGUGCAAACACGCCAUCGUCAUCAACCAUCGGAACAUGAUCUGAAUAUCUGGUUUCUUUCAAUUUUAAAAACUUAAAUUCGAUUUAAAACAAAGUAUGAAAUAGUGGCUCUGACCUACCAGUGCAUUGCUUAUUCUUGAUGAAUUUCAGUGAACAUUACACUGUCUUAGUCUUACAACCUUGAAGAUAAUGAAUAAGUUCUUUUUGAUUGUUCAGAGAUCUGUGAAUAAGUUUUUUUUUUAAAAAUAGGCUCUAUUAAUUCAAUUGAACAAUAAAAUAGAAUGAAGAAGCUGAUAAUGGAGAGACGAGUGUAAAAAAUGACUACUCUACUCAAAACAAGUUAAUAGAGUAUAUUGUUUAAACCCAACAAUUAUAAAAAUAAAAUUUCUGUAGUUCUUUUUCUC